UACGAAGGGGGCUAGCGUUGCUCGGAAUCACUGGGCGUAAAGAGCUCGUAGGCGGCUCAGUAAGUCAGGUGUGAAAACUCCAGGCUCAACCUGGAGACGCCACCUGAUACUGCUGUGGCUAGAGUCCGGUAGGGGAGCAUGGAAUUCCUGGUGUAGCGGUGAAAUGCGCAGAUAUCAGGAGGAACACCAGUGGCGAAGGCGGUGCUCUGGGCCGGAACUGACGCUGAGGAGCGGAAGCGUGGGGAGCGAACAGG
rnacentral:rRNA from 1 species